AACGCACAUUGCGCCUCUUGUAAGAGAGGCAUGCCUGUCUGAGUCUCAUUUAACCUAUAAACCUGGAAUGGGUUUGUGCUGGGCGUUCGCCUCUGGGCGUCGUCUCAAAGUCAUCUGUCUAACGAGCGGACGAGAUCCUUUUGGACUGACCGUUUGUGGACCCUAAACCUCUGACUUGAGCUCAGAUCAGGCAGGACUACCGCCUGAACUUAA
rnacentral:misc_RNA from 1 species